UUAAGCGACUAAGCGUACACGGUGGAUGCCCUGGCAGUCAGAGGCGAUGAAGGACGUGCUAAUCUGCGAUAAGCGUCGGUAAGGUGAUAUGAACCGUUAUAACCGGCGAUUUCCGAAUGGGGAAACCCAGUGUGUUUCGACACACUAUCAUUAACUGAAUCCAUAGGUUAAUGAGGCGAACCGGGGGAACUGAAACAUCUAAGUACCCCGAGGAAAAGAAAUCAACCGAGAUUCCCCCCAGUAGCGGCGAGCGAACGGGGAGCAGCCCAGAGCCUGAAUCAGUGUGUGUGUUAGUGGAAGCGUCUGGAAAGGCGCGCGAUACAGGGUGACAGCCCCGUACACAAAAAUGCACAUGCUGUGAGCUCGAUGAGUAGGGCGGGACACGUGGUAUCCUGUCUGAAUAUGGGGACCAUCCUCCAAGGCUAAAUACUCCUGACUGACCGAUAGUGAACCAGUACCGUGAGGGAAAGGCGAAAAGAACCCCGGCGAGGGAGUGAAAAGAACCUGAAACCGUGUACGUACAAGCAGUGGGAGCACGCUUAGGCGUGUGACUGCGUACCUUUUGUAUAAUGGGUCAGCGACUUAUAUUCUGUAGCAAGGUUAACCGAAUAGGGGAGCCGAAGGGAAACCGAGUCUUAACUGGGCGUUAAGUUGCAGGGUAUAGACCCGAAACCCGGUGAUCUAGCCAUGGGCAGGUUGAAGGUUGGGUAACACUAACUGGAGGACCGAACCGACUAAUGUUGAAAAAUUAGCGGAUGACUUGUGGCUGGGGGUGAAAGGCCAAUCAAACCGGGAGAUAGCUGGUUCUCCCCGAAAGCUAUUUAGGUAGCGCCUCGUGAAUUCAUCUCCGGGGGUAGAGCACUGUUUCGGCAAGGGGGUCAUCCCGACUUACCAACCCGAUGCAAACUGCGAAUACCGGAGAAUGUUAUCACGGGAGACACACGGCGGGUGCUAACGUCCGUCGUGAAGAGGGAAACAACCCAGACCGCCAGCUAAGGUCCCAAAGUCAUGGUUAAGUGGGAAACGAUGUGGGAAGGCCCAGACAGCCAGGAUGUUGGCUUAGAAGCAGCCAUCAUUUAAAGAAAGCGUAAUAGCUCACUGGUCGAGUCGGCCUGCGCGGAAGAUGUAACGGGGCUAAACCAUGCACCGAAGCUGCGGCAGCGACGCUUAUGCGUUGUUGGGUAGGGAGCGUUCUGUAAGCCUGCGAAGGUGUGCUGUGAGGCAUGCUGGAGGUAUCAGAAGUGCGAAUGCUGACAUAAGUAACGAUAAAGCGGGUGAAAAGCCCGCUCGCCGGAAGACCAAGGGUUCCUGUCCAACGUUAAUCGGGGCAGGGUGAGUCGACCCCUAAGGCGAGGCCGAAAGGCGUAGUCGAUGGGAAACAGGUUAAUAUUCCUGUACUUGGUGUUACUGCGAAGGGGGGACGGAGAAGGCUAUGUUGGCCGGGCGACGGUUGUCCCGGUUUAAGCGUGUAGGCUGGUUUUCCAGGCAAAUCCGGAAAAUCAAGGCUGAGGCGUGAUGACGAGGCACUACGGUGCUGAAGCAACAAAUGCCCUGCUUCCAGGAAAAGCCUCUAAGCAUCAGGUAACAUCAAAUCGUACCCCAAACCGACACAGGUGGUCAGGUAGAGAAUACCAAGGCGCUUGAGAGAACUCGGGUGAAGGAACUAGGCAAAAUGGUGCCGUAACUUCGGGAGAAGGCACGCUGAUAUGUAGGUGAAGCGACUUGCUCGUGGAGCUGAAAUCAGUCGAAGAUACCAGCUGGCUGCAACUGUUUAUUAAAAACACAGCACUGUGCAAACACGAAAGUGGACGUAUACGGUGUGACGCCUGCCCGGUGCCGGAAGGUUAAUUGAUGGGGUCAGCGCAAGCGAAGCUCUUGAUCGAAGCCCCGGUAAACGGCGGCCGUAACUAUAACGGUCCUAAGGUAGCGAAAUUCCUUGUCGGGUAAGUUCCGACCUGCACGAAUGGCGUAAUGAUGGCCAGGCUGUCUCCACCCGAGACUCAGUGAAAUUGAACUCGCUGUGAAGAUGCAGUGUACCCGCGGCAAGACGGAAAGACCCCGUGAACCUUUACUAUAGCUUGACACUGAACAUUGAGCCUUGAUGUGUAGGAUAGGUGGGAGGCUUGGAAGUGUGGACGCCAGUCUGCAUGGAGCCGACCUUGAAAUACCACCCUUUAAUGUUUGAUGUUCUAACGUUGACCCGUAAUCCGGGUUGCGGACAGUGUCUGGUGGGUAGUUUGACUGGGGCGGUCUCCUCCUAAAGAGUAACGGAGGAGCACGAAGGUUGGCUAAUCCUGGUCGGACAUCAGGAGGUUAGUGCAAUGGCAUAAGCCAGCUUGACUGCGAGCGUGACGGCGCGAGCAGGUGCGAAAGCAGGUCAUAGUGAUCCGGUGGUUCUGAAUGGAAGGGCCAUCGCUCAACGGAUAAAAGGUACUCCGGGGAUAACAGGCUGAUACCGCCCAAGAGUUCAUAUCGACGGCGGUGUUUGGCACCUCGAUGUCGGCUCAUCACAUCCUGGGGCUGAAGUAGGUCCCAAGGGUAUGGCUGUUCGCCAUUUAAAGUGGUACGCGAGCUGGGUUUAGAACGUCGUGAGACAGUUCGGUCCCUAUCUGCCGUGGGCGCUGGAGAACUGAGGGGGGCUGCUCCUAGUACGAGAGGACCGGAGUGGACGCAUCACUGGUGUUCGGGUUGUCAUGCCAAUGGCACUGCCCGGUAGCUAAAUGCGGAAGAGAUAAGUGCUGAAAGCAUCUAAGCACGAAACUUGCCCCGAGAUGAGUUCUCCCUGACCCUUUAAGGGUCCUGAAGGAACGUUGAAGACGACGACGUUGAUAGGCCGGGUGUGUAAGCGCAGCGAUGCGUUGAGCUAACCGGUACUAAUGAACCGUGAGGCUUAACCU
rnacentral:rRNA from 1 species